rnacentral:rRNA from 1 species
UACGAAGGGGGCUAGCGUUGUUCGGAGUUACUGGGCGUAAAGGGCGUGUAGGCGGUAUGUUAAGUCUGGCGUGAAAGCUCUCGGCUAAACCGGGAGAGGUCGUUGGAUACUGGCAAACUAGAGGAUGGUAGAGGCGUGUGGAAUUCCGGGUGUAGUGGUGAAAUGCGUAGAGAUCCGGAGGAACACCAGUGGCGAAGGCGACACGCUGGGCCAUACCUGACGCUAAAGCGCGACAGCAUGGGGAGCAAACGGG